rnacentral:ncRNA from 25 species
CACUAGUCAGCGAGGGUUCGCCCACUAGUG